rnacentral:rRNA from 1 species
UACAGAGGGUGCAAGCGUUGUUCGGAAUUAUUGGGCGUAAAGCGCGUGUAGGCGGCUUUGCAAGUCGGGUGUGAAAGCCCUCAGCUCAACUGAGGAAGUGCGCCCGAAACUGCAGAGCUUGAGUGCCGGAGAGGGUGGCGGAAUUCCCCAAGUAGAGGUGAAAUUCGUAGAUAUGGGGAAGAACACCGGUGGCGAAGGCGGCCACCUGGACGGUAACUGACGCUGAGACGCGAAAGCGUGGGGAGCAAACGGG